rnacentral:rRNA from 1 species
CUCUAGACGAUGUCGUUACACAAAUAUGAAGGCGGGCUGGAACCUCUCGGGGUUACAGCCUUGCUGAAUUAUUCACCCUUGUCUUUUGCGUACUUCUUGUUUCCUUGGUGGGUUCGCCCACCACUAGGACAAACAUAAACCUUUUGUAAUUGCAAUCAGCGUCAGUAACAAAUUAAUAAUUACAACUUUCAACAACGGAUCUCUUGGUUCUGGCAUCGAUGAAGAACGCAGCGAAAUGCGAUAAGUAGUGUGAAUUGCAGAAUUCAGUGAAUCAUCGAAUCUUUGAACGCACAUUGCGCCCUUUGGUAUUCCAAAGGGCAUGCCUGUUCGAGCGUCAUUUGUACCCUCAAGCUUUGCUUGGUGUUGGGCGUCUUGUCUCUAGCUUUGCUGGAGACUCGCCUUAAAGUAAUUGGCAGCCGGCCUACUGGUUUCGGAGCGCAGCACAAGUCGCACUCUCUAUCAGCAAAGGUCUAGCAUCCAUUAAGCCUUUUUUUCAACUUUUGACCUCGGAUCAGGUAGGGAUACCCGCUGAACUUAAGCAUAUCAAUAAGCCGGGAGGAACCUACGGAAACCUUGUUACGACACCUACGGAAA